CUUUUUCUUUCCUUUUUUUUUCCUUUUUCCUUUUCCCCUUUUUUUCCUCUUUUUUUUAGUGAGACUGAUAUUAUUACCGAGAAGAAGAAAAAGAGGAUGUCAUAAUAGUGAUAUUGAUAGUAUUAUUAAGAA
rnacentral:ribozyme from 1 species